GACAGAGGCCUCGAGCGUUAGGCGGAAUCACUGGGCUUAAAGCGCGUGUAGGCGGCCUGUUAAGUCGGUUGUGAAAACCCAUGGCUCAACCAUGGAAGUGCGUCCGAAACUGGCAGGCUUGAGUCCUGACGAGGAUGGCGGAAUUCCCAGUGUAGAGGUGAAAUUCGUAGAUAUUGGGAGGAACACCGGUGGCGAAGGCGGCCAUCUGGGAAGGUACUGACGCUGAGACGCGAAAGCGUGGGGAGCAAACAGG
rnacentral:rRNA from 1 species